rnacentral:rRNA from 1 species
AGAGUUUGAUCCUGGCUCAGGACGAACGCUGGCGGCGUGCUUAACACAUGCAAGUCGAGCGGAAAGGCCUUUCGGGGUACUCGAGCGGCGAACGGGUGAGUAACACGUGAGCAACCUGCCUCUGACUUUGGGAUAACCCUCGGAAACGGGGGCUAAUACCGGAUAUGACCUCGCGGGGCAUCUUGUGGGGUGGAAAGCUUUUGCGGUCAGGGAUGGGCUCGCGGCCUAUCAGCUUGUUGGUGGGGUGAUGGCCUACCAAGGCGGCGACGGGUAGCCGGCCUGAGAGGGCGACCGGCCACACUGGGACUGAGACACGGCCCAGACUCCUACGGGAGGCAGCAGUGGGGAAUAUUGCACAAUAGGCGGAAGCCUGAUGCAGCGACGCCGCGUGAGGGAUGACGGCCUUCGGGUUGUAAACCUCUUUCAGCUCCGACGAAGCGCAAGUGACGGUAGGAGCAGAAGAAGCGCCGGCCAACUACGUGCCAGCAGCCGCGGUAAGACGUAGGGCGCAAGCGUUGUCCGGAUUUAUUGGGCGUAAAGAGCUCGUAGGCGGCUUGUUGCGUCGACCGUGAAAACCCGCGGCUCAACUGCGGGCUUGCGGUCGAUACGGGCAGGCUGGAGUUCGGUAGGGGAGACUGGAAUUCCUGGUGUAGCGGUGAAAUGCGCAGAUAUCAGGAGGAACACCGGUGGCGAAGGCGGGUCUCUGGGCCGAUACUGACGCUGAGGAGCGAAAGCGUGGGGAGCGAACAGGAUUAGAUACCCUAGUAGUCC